CUUACCAUGCAAGUCGAACGAUGAUGCCCAGCUUGCUGGGUGGAUUAGUGGCGAACGGGUGAGUAACACGUGAGUAACCUGCCCCUGACUCUGGGAUAAGCGUUGGAAACGACGUCUAAUACUGGAUAUGAUCGCCGGCCGCAUGGUCUGGUGGUGGAAAGAUUUUUUGGUUGGGGAUGGACUCGCGGCCUAUCAGCUUGUUGGUGAGGUAAUGGCUCACCAAGGCGACGACGGGUAGCCGGCCUGAGAGGGUGACCGGCCACACUGGGACUGAGACACGGCCCAGACUCCUACGGGAGGCAGCAGUGGGGAAUAUUGCACAAUGGGCGAAAGCCUGAUGCAGCAACGCCGCGUGAGGGAUGACGGCCUUCGGGUUGUAAACCUCUUUUAGUAGGGAAGAAGCGAAAGUGACGGUACCUGCAGAAAAAGCACCGGCUAACUACGUGCCAGCAGCCGCGGUAAUACGUAGGGUGCAAGCGUUGUCCGGAAUUAUUGGGCGUAAAGAGCUCGUAGGCGGUUUGUCGCGUCUGCUGUGAAAUCCCGAGGCUCAACCUCGGGCUUGCAGUGGGUACGGGCAGACUAGAGUGCGGUAGGGGAGAUUGGAAUUCCUGGUGUAGCGGUGGAAUGCGCAGAUAUCAGGAGGAACACCGAUGGCGAAGGCAGAUCUCUGGGCCGUAACUGACGCUGAGGAGCGAAAGCAUGGGGAGCGAACAGGAUUAGAUACCCUGGUAGUCCAUGCCGUAAACGUUGGGCGCUAGAUGUAGGGACCUUUCCACGGUUUCUGUGUCGUAGCUAACGCAUAAGCGCC
rnacentral:rRNA from 1 species